rnacentral:rRNA from 2 species
UACGUAGGCAGCGAGCGUUGUUCGGAGUUACUGGGCGUAAAGAGUGCGUAGGCGGUUUUCUAAGUUUGGUGUGAAAUCUCCCGGCUUAACUGGGAGGGUGCGCCGAAGACUGGAAGGCUUGAGUAUGGGAGAGGUAAGCGGAAUUCCUGGUGUAGCGGUGAAAUGCGUAGAUAUCAGGAGGAACACCUGCGGUGUAGACGGCUUACUGGACCAUCACUGACGCUGAGGCACGAAAGCGUGGGUAGCAAACAGG